AUGUUCAGAAAAACAAUAAAUCAAGAAGUAAAAACUGGGGAGGAAGAUGACUCGGACACAGAUGGACAACCUAGACUGGGGACAUGUGACGACGGCCAGCACCGCCUGGAACUCCGACCUUCCUGCUCCUUUCCUCAUACCAGCGCCUCAUCCUCCCUUGCUCCAUGCCCACCACAAAGACCACGCCACCCUGCUCUCCUAUGGCGGCGACCUGCGCCUGAUCCAGACGCACGGCGCACGGCAGCAGCGGAUCCAAAAAAUAGCCACCCCAAAACUAACCUAAACAUCAAAUCAAUUAGGAUUACUGCCAAGAAUUAG
rnacentral:rRNA from 1 species